CCCAACAAUUUGGAAAAUUGGAUUUCACCAUUUGGAGCCAGCUAAAGACUUAAAGCUGACAGGAAAGUCAGUGCAGCUCGUCUCAUAACAAAUGACAUAUUUGGAUUAUGUCUUCCCUAUCUAAUCACUUCAUAAAGUAUGAAUUAUGUUUUUUUCCCUCCCUCCUUCCUUUUUGUUGCCUCUAUCUUUUUCACAGAGUAAUGGCAGCGCCAUGUGGGCACCGUGUAAGGCGGUUCCUUGGCAGCAAGGCCUCAGUAAAUCGUCUCCCCCUUAAAUGUUUGUUAUGUUAUGGUGAUUGUACCGAAACAGCAAUUGUCCUCUGGGGAUAUUAAAGUAUUUCUGAUUCUGAUUGUUGGCAGGAUCCGGCGCACUAGGGGGACUGCGUGGUGAGAGAUUGACAGGAUCCACUUGGCCAGCCUGAAGACUUCAUUCCACCUAUGUUGGAAAAGGGGAGUCCUGGAACUUCACCGCAGCUCCGGGCCGAUCAGAUCCGAAUCCAAAAAACUUCUGUGAUGCUUCCUGGGCGGAGCUGCAGGCCCUCCAGGUGGCUGACCCGGAUCUGGACUCCUGUCCCUCUUCACGAAGAUGUCAACCUGCUCAACAGCCUGCGGACCGAGGUGAGCUCAGCAAGCAGGGCGGCUCCGACGGAGUAGCGGGUGGACAACUACAGGAGGAUCCCACUCCCUCAUCAGACGCAGUCAUUCCCAAAGCAGAGCAGCCACAAGACUCAUCUCAAAGCAAGAAACUACCGCCAUCUACCGUUGCCAGACUCUGAAAUUCGUCGAACAACUGUAAAUGGAGGAGAAAACAGACUGGGGAUACUCUUAAUGCCAAAUACUUUGUAGCGGUGGACAGACUGUGUACCAGCUUUGUGAAACAAUUUCCUCAGAGAACCGACUGUGCCGCUCUACAGAGAGUGAAACAAUGGCCUGACAAGACGUUGUCUGAUUUUCUGCACCGCCUGGAAGAAGAGUUCAAUAAACACUCUGGCAUGGAACGUCCUACUGAUUUCACUGUCUUGGGGCCCUGGGAGAGGAUGUUGUGCAGCUACAUCAUGGAAGGACCUCUCCCGGAAAUAGUAGCACAAAACAAGACUUUUUAUGUGGGCUGGAGGCAUGGUGUGCGACUGGCUGAGUUUAAAGAGACACACUCUGCACAGCAGGGAUGUCAACAAUGAAGGAAGGAAAAUGAAAGUUGGCAAAAGAGACACUGAUCUGCACAAGGCUGCUCUGACUCUUUUUCUGGUGGAUCUCAGCGAGGAAGAUGUUCUGUAAUUGCACGAAAAGGACAGUACGGGGAGCUCUGUAUAUGUAUGUGAGAAAGCUAUGCUGUAUGCACGAAAAGGACAGUAGGGGGAGCUCUGUAUAUGUAUGUGAGAAAGCUAUGCUGUAUGUGUGAGAAGAAGAAGUGAACGGAGAGUAAAAGAGGACUGAAGCUGAA